UGCAUGAUCUCCUUUUACCGAGUCUUCAUACCUCAGGCAUCCUCCUACACCAGUGGACUCUCCGACCUCCUGCGGAAAGAGAACCCCGAACCACUGGUAUGGUCAGAUGAGCUGCGGACCUGUUUCGAACAACUCAAGUCAGCACUGCACUCUCAGCCAGUCCUCAAGUUGCCUGACCCGUCACGUCCCUUCGUUUUACGGACCGAUGCAUCAAAUCAAGCCCCGGAACACCUCACUCGACCUACACUCAUCCCGAGCGAGGCUUCACACUACCCGCAGCGGAACGCCUCGAACGCCCUGCCCGAGCUCCACCGGCGCGAGUGGGGGCCCUGACGUUUCGUAGCCGAAGCAACCUCGGACGUUGGUGCGCUGAGGACGGGAGACGACUCCAGGACUCGGUCGAGCCAGCUCGCUAGGCACUGGCUCCCCUUCACCACCUAACGAGUCCUCCACCUGACGAGGCUGCUGCCGCGUUACGCCCGGCCCGGCACUGCCCUCCAUCACUCAGCCGUAGCACCGCCGCGGUCUACCCGGGGAAGACACUGUUGGCCCCGAGACCGAAUACCCGGGCCGCCCUUGCUGGCCUUACCACGCCGGCCUGCCUACCUGUCUUCCGUGGGCUGUAUGAGCGGCCUCACCACGCCGGCCGUCCUACCUGUCUCCCGUGGGCUGUGUGAGCGGCCUUACCACACCGGCCGUCCUACCUGUCUCCCGUGGGCUGUGCGAGCUGAAGUGCAUAUUAAAGACGGAGUUAACA